rnacentral:miRNA from 1 species
CCGUCAGUGCCAACAUGCCAG